rnacentral:lncRNA from 1 species
AUUUGUUCUAAAGUGACAUUUCUUCAGAAACGUGGAAAUGUAGAAAAUUAAAACUCAACGCUCUAAGAGCUACAUGCACAGAAAUAAAGGUCAGAGACUUUAGAAUUCUGUUCUACUCUGAACAGCUUGGGUAAGAGUUCUUGGUAAAAGCUGGUGAACUGGAAGGUGAAAUUUGUUACAUAAUGCUGAGUGUGGAAUUGAAUAUCUGAAAAGAGCAAUCUUCUGAUAAGCAGUUUUCUCCCAAUGAAAGAUUAUUGUAUAAUCAGAAACCUCCCCAGCUAUGGCUGAAGCAGCUGUGGUUAUUCACACUAGAAUCAAAAACAGAUUUAGAGAGAGCAUGACUUUCAAAUAUAGAUUAUUUUUCGGAGGUAGAGCUUUUCAGUACUGAAAGUCAAUAUUAUGCCUUAUAUUAUGUCUAGUACUUGACUUUCGGACAUCACCAAAAUUAAAAAAAUACAAUAGGAGUUCUUUUGUGGUGCAGUGGGUUACGGAGCCGAUGUUGUCACUGCAGCAGCUUGGGUCACUACUCUGGCAGGGGUUUGAUCCCUGGCGCAGGAAUUUUUUGUUUUGUUUUGUUUUUUUAUAGGGUCGCAACCGUGGCAUACGGAGGUUCCCAGGCUGGGGGUCUAAUCGGAGCUGUAGCUGCUGACCUACACCACAGCCACAGCCACGCCAGAUCCGAGCCUGGUCUUUGACCUACACCACAGCUCAGGGCAAUGCCAGAUUCUUAACCCACUGAGCGAGGCCAGGGAUCGAUGUUUCCUAGUUGGAUUUGUUUCUGCUGCGCCAUGACGGGAACUCCUGGCCCAGGAGAUUUUAUUUGCCAUGAGCGCAGCCAAAAAAAAAAACCACAUUAUAUUGCAUUGCAUAUAUAUUAAAAACUAGACAUGCAAGCCAAAGGGAUAAGUUAUACUCUUCCAUUCUUUCAGUAAACUACACAGUCUAAACCAGAAAUGCCAGCAGUGGGUUACCUAUGCCUCCAGUCUCCGUUCUGGGUAAACAUUGUAGACAGCAUCAUCAAUCACAGAACUAAGCCCAGAUUUAUCUUCAGGAUCUUCACCGCACAAUGGCGUGGCUAGCCACUACAUAGUCUGGAGUUAGUCUGCCAAAUACACCUUAAUUUGCUGUUUCUGCUUAAUUACUAAUAAGUAAGCUUGUUUACCAAAAUCUCAAAAGCCAAAACCUAAAAAGGCAAUAUCUGAGUCUCAUAAAAGAACAUAUCUUGAUCAUUCAAUAAAUGCUUAUAUAUGCAAUGUACUGACUCAUAGUAGACAAUACAUAAAUGCUUUUGUUAUGAUUGUUGAGCAGCUACUAUGACCAGAUGCUAUUUCUAGGCAAUGGGGAAACAGCAAUAAACCAAAAUAUUUCCUACCUUUAUGAAGCCUCCUUUCUGGUGAUGGAAGACAGACAAUAAACAGAAUUAGGAAGUGUUGGGCUACACCCUUCAAGACUGCAUGCCUUGUAGUUGCCUGGCUGCAAGACCAAAGAAAGAGCCCAGAGGCAGGGACAGAGACAUCAAGGGUUUAUGGGCCAGGGCAUCUUAUAAGUCUGAAGCAGAAGUCCUGGAUCAAACCCCACUGUGUAUGGCAGACAGCAGGCAGAACCAGGCAAGAGUCUUUUCUACUCCGGGGGAGAAGGAGGCUAUCAUUGAUAGGGGGAAUUGACAUCAGGUUGGUUCAUCAGUUACCAGGGAAACCAGCAGCUGAGGCUGGAGGCAAGCAAGGAAGUAGUCACUAUUUAAGCCCCAUAUUUAAGAGGAUUGGAGAGUCAUGUGAACAGGGUGUAGGUGAUGGGCAGGGGCUGGUCAAGCCGGGAAGAUAGAGAACAAGAGAAUGGCCAUCUUGAGUGGCCUGACCAUACCCUGAGUAAAUUAUAUACUUUAUUAGGUGAUAUAUGCUUCAAAGCAGGACAGAAAAGUGAGGAGCAUCAUAAAACCCAGACAUUCAACUCUUAGGUAUUUACCCAAGCAAACUGACAGCAUAUAUUCUCACGAAGACUUCUACAUAAAUAUUUGUAGCAGAUUUAUUUAUAAGAGCCAAAAAUUGGAAAUGAGUCAAAUGUCCAUCAAUAUGUGAAUGGAUGGAAAUCCUGUGAAAUUGGACUGUGAUGAUCAUUGUACAACUAUAGAUGUGAUAAAUUCAUUUGAGUAAUAAAAAAAAUAUUUAAAAAUAUAUGUGAAUGGAUUUUUAAAAAUCGUGAUAUAUCCAUACAAAGCAAUACUCCAACAACAAAAAGAAUGAGCUAUUUAGACACAUAACAUGAAUGAAUCUCAAAACAAUUUAUCUGAGAACCCAGACCAAAAAAAGAAAAAGAAAAAAAGAGAAAAGCUAAUGCCGUAUAGUGCCAUUUAUAAAAGAUUCUAGAAAAUGAAAGCUAAUCUACAGUGAUGAGAAAGCAGAUUAGUAUUUGCCCGUAGACUGGUAGAGUGAAAGGACGGUUGUGGAGGGACAGGAGUCAGGGAUUGCCAAGGGGCACAAGGGAACUUCUGGGGAGUGAUGGCCAUGUUCAUUACCUUGUUCUUGUUGGUUUUGCUUUUUAGGCCGCUCCCUCGGCAUAUGGAGGUUGAAUUGGAGCUACAGCUGCCUGCCUACAUCACAGCCACAGCAAUGCAGGAUCCAAGCUGCCUCUGCGACCUACACCACAGCUCAGGGCAACUCCAGAUCGUUAAUCCACUGAGCAAGGCCAGGGAUCGAACCUGUAUCCUCAUGGAUACGCUUGGGCAUAUGGGAGGUUCCCAGGCUAGGGGUCUAAUCGGAGCUGUAGCCGCCAGCCUACACCAGAGCCACAGCAACUCGGGAUCUGAGCCAUGUCUGCGACCUACACCACAGCUCACGGCAGCGCCGGAUCCUUAACCCACUGAGCAAGGCCAGGGAUCGAACCCGCAAUCUCAUGGUUCCUAGUCGGAUUUGUUAACCACUGCGCCACAACGGGAACUCCCAACAAACCUGUUUUUUUUAAAAAAAACUAUUUUUUUUCUUUUUACGGCCGCUCCUGUGGCAUAUGGACCCCAGGCUAAGGGUCGAAUGGGAGCUGCAGCUGACAGCCUACACUGCGGCCAUGGCAACGCCAGAUCCAAUAUUCAUGAGGAUGUAGGUUUGAUCCCUGGCCUCGCUCAGUGGGUUAAGGAGUUGGCAUUGCUGUGAGCUGUGGUGUAGGUCACAGAUACGGCUGGGAUCUGGCAUUGCUGUGGCUGUGGCAUAGGCUGGCAGCUACAGCUCGGAUUCAAGACCUCGCCCAGGAGCUUCCAUAUAUGCCACAGAUGCGACCAUAAAAAGAAAAAAAAAGAUUUCAAUAUAUGAAUGGGGGUAGAUACAAUUCAGUCCAUAACAUUGAAAAAGCCUAUGUAGGACUGUGCUCUCUGAAAAAAAGAGUAAUAAAUGGAGGUGAUCCCUUCAGUUUCAGUUGUCAUAAUAGCUAUCUGCUUGGAGGCAUUAUCCAAUGCACAGAAUAGGAAAGAAAAUCCAAAUCUAAGAGACAGAGAUUGGUUAGAUGAGGCUAAAGCACCUGGAAUGUCACGACUUUAGUGGCCUAGGGAGUUCCCGUUGUGGCAUAGCGGAAACGAAUCCGCCUAGUAUCCAUGAGGACACAGCCUUGCUCAGCGGGUUGGGGAUCAGGCGUUGCCAUGAGCUGUGGUGUAGGCCAGCAGUAGCUCUGAUUUGACCACUAGCUGGGAACUUCCCCAUGCUGUAGGUGUGGCCCUAAAAAGAAAAAAAAAAAAAAAAGAAUUUAGUGGUCUAAAAACAAAUUAUUUGACACUCCUCCAAAUGAGUCGGGGGGCGGGGGGGGGUCUUUAUGCAAAUUUCCUUCGCUGCAUAUCUUCCUCCUUUCUAGUGCUGUCCUACAAAUUCCGGCUGUGAGUACCAGACUCAGGUUAUGAAAAAAAUAACCAAGGUAAUUAGAAGAUGAUAAAUCCAUAUAUCUCAACAUUCCGGUCUUCCUCCCUCUCUUCCUCCCUCCCUCCCUCUUUCCUUCUUUCUCGCCCUACCCACGGCAUGUGGAAGUUCCCAGGGCCAGAGAUUGAACCCUUGACACAAGAGUGACCCGAGCCACUGCAGUGACAAUGCUGGAUCCUUAACCACAGGACCACAAGGGAACACCAACAUUUUGGUAUUUCAAUUGGGAAUGUAAAGCAGAGGUUGGAUUUAUACAAAAAUAUCAAAGUCAAAUUGGAUUGUGAUGAUCAUUAUACAACUACAGAUGUGAUAAAUUCAUUGAGUAAUAAAAAAAAGAAAGAAUGACCCUGUGGGAAACGAAAAUUUGUAGUAAGUGAAGUGUAAAGCUUCCAGGAAAUCAUAUGCAGAAAUGGUCUAGUUAGCAGAUGUAGUAAAAGCAAAAGAGAGCUUUAGAAUCUAGUAUGAAGAAAGCCUAUGUCUUGAAGGCAACAAAUCUAAGAUUAUGUUAUUUGAAAGCUCUAGUGUGAAAUACCAAAGCCAUAUUUAUUAUUCUCCAACAGUAAAGAUACUUUUAAUUAUUAACAGUAAAGAUAAUAUUAAUUACUUUUUAAAGUAUGCCCAUCCCACCCCAAGAAAAAAGGAAACAAGUUCCCAGAUUCUGGAUUCAGCUAGCUCUCACGUGGAAGAGACCAUGUUUCCUGAGUCUGGAUUAUCUGGGGAGGGGUUGUUAGUUUGCUUUCCUAAGGAGCAGUGGGUGGACUCCAGGUGGCUGUGGCAGGGGUGAGUGACAGGGAUUCAGUGCUGUAUGUCAAAGGCAAGGUCUAUAUUUUAUUUUUGCAAUAAUAGACUAAAGUAUAUCAUUUCAUUGACUAAAAUAUAUCAUUAAUAUCUUGGAUAUACUGGAUGGGACACCAAAUCUGGAAUAAAAAAUACUGAGUCUGAGUGUCAGCUCUGUCAUUUACCAUUUCUGGACACUUUGGAUAAGCUAUGUUCUCACAGGCUCAGUCUCCUUGGUGAAACAGGAAGUAUUUCAUUAUACAGUUAUUUAAAAGUUAUCCUAUACCAGGCUUCCCACAGAGGAUUCAAAGCCCAGGAAGACAGGCUCCCUGCCACUCAGAGGUUUAGCGGGUAAAGCAGAACUAUAUAUAAAUAAAUCCAACGGUUAACAAUAAAGGAACACAAAAGGAAUCAUUAGAGGUGUGUACAGACCUCUGAGCAGGUGGAAAUUAGAAAAAAAGAACUUCAUUUAAAAAAAAGAGAGGAGUUCCCGUUGUGGCGCAGCAGAAACGAAUCCGACCAGUAUCCAUGAGAAUGCAGGUUCCAUCCCUGGCUUCAUUCAGCGGGUUGGGGAUUCGGCUUUGCCAAGAGCUGUGGUCUAUCUAGGUCGCAAACUCGGCUCAGAUCUCAAGUUGCUGUGGCUGUGGUGUAGGCCAGGAGCUGUAGCUCCUGAAUCAACCCCUAGCCUGCAAACUUCCAUAUGCCGCAGGUGCGG